UACGUAGGGUGCAAGCGUUAAUCGGAAUUACUGGGCGUAAAGGGCGCGUAGGCGGCCUUCUAAGUCAGACGUGAAAUCCCCCGGCUUAACCUGGGAACUGCGUCUGAUACUGGGAGGCUUGAGUAUGGGAGAGGGAUGUAGAAUUCCAGGUGUAGCGGUGAAAUGCGUAGAUAUCUGGAGGAAUACCGGUGGCGAAGGCGGCAUCCUGGACCAUAACUGACGCUGAGGCGCGAAAGCUAGGGGAGCAAACGGG
rnacentral:rRNA from 1 species